CCCUGGCGCCUCUCCAAGCUGCAAAUCUUUCCCUCGAGGUGACGAGGAUGUGGGAACCUCUGACUGCUAAACUCAAAACCAUUGCAGAGGAUAUCCCAUCAAUCAUAACAAGAGCUGUGGAGAGCUCCACCAGGCGGCUACAGGAUGACAUCUACAACCUCAAGACCGAGAACAGCACAAUGAAGGUCGAGGUGGAGAAGGU
rnacentral:lncRNA from 1 species